UGAGGAAUUUUGCGCAAUGGGCGAAAGCCUGAACCUGCGACGCCGCGUGAGUGAUGAAGGUCGUAAGAUCGUAAAACUCUUUUCAGGGAUCUUAGAGCACAGCUGUCAACAACAGCUGUGUGUGACUCUCCCUGGAAGAAGCCCCAGCCAACUACGUGCCAGCAGCUGCGGUAAUACGUAGGGGGCGAGCGUUGUCCGGAGUUACUGGGCGUAAAGAGCGUGUAGGCGGUUGAAAAAGUCAGGUGUGAAAUUCUUCGGCUCAACCGAGGGACUGCGCCUGAAACUUUUCGACUGGAGUUCGGGAGGGGCAACCGGCAUUCCUGGUUUAAAGGUGAAAUGUGUAGAGAUCAGGAGGAACACCCGUGGCGAAGGCGGGUUGCUGGACCGAAACUGACGCUGAGACGCGAAAGCGUGGGUAGCAAACA
rnacentral:rRNA from 1 species